rnacentral:rRNA from 1 species
GGCGAACCGAGCGAACGUUGUUCGGAAUCACUGGGCUUAAAGGGCGCGUAGGCGGGUUCUCAAGUCCGGGGUGAAAUCCCACAGCUCAACUGUGGAACUGCCUCGGAUACUGGGUGCCUCGAGGGUGGUAGGGGUAUGCGGAACUAUCGGUGGAGCGGUGAAAUGCGUUGAUAUCGAUAGGAACUCCGGUGGCGAAGGCGGCAUACUGGACCACAUCUGACGCUGAGGCGCGAAAGCCAGGGGAGCGAACGGG